AAGGCAACGUGAAAUUUUGCAUUAAACUUGAGAAGUCUAAUAAAGAGACAUUGAGCAUGCUUCAGUAAGCUUACGGCGACGAGGCACUGAGCCGUAUGCAAGGUUUCGAGUGGCACGGGUGUUGCAAAAGCGAAAGAACGUUCCUGGAAGAGGAUUAGCAAUCUGGUAGAUUUGCCACGAGCAUCAUCCCCGGAAAUGUGGAGAAAUUUCAUCAGCUUGUGCAUGACGAUCAGCAAAUGACAAUCAACAACAUUGCUGAUGUUGUUGGUCUGUCAUAUGAAUUCAUGCAAACAAUCCUAACAUCUGAAAUGAAC